UUACAACUUUAAAAUUAUAGGUGCCAAAUAGGCUUGAGAAGCACAUUUCCAGCAAGAGAGUACAACACUGAAAAGAUAUCUAUGUUCUGAUUUCCCCACUUCUUAGCAAUAUGAUCCUGGGCAAAACAGUUAAUAUCUCUGAACCUCAAUUUCCUCAUCCUUUAUCUUCCUGCAAGCAAGCAAUGAUUUCUUGAGAUACCCCACAGUUUUAAGACCUAUGAUUCUAUGAUUGGCUACUUUUUGGGGAAGUAAAUUUGGAGGGAAAAUGAGCCAUGAGCACCCCAGUCCUAGGAGACAAGACGCAUGGCUACAGCUAGCAUAUGCUUCCUCCAACAGCUUCCUGGUAACAAGCAUUAGUCCAGUGAAAAGCCUUAUUCUAUGAAAUAAGUCUAUUAAAAUUAAUUUUUAAAUUAGUUAAAAUUAAAAAUAAUUAAAAAAACUAAUUAAAAGCAUGUGUAAAAAGUGGAAGAGACCAAGAUCUGACAGCUGAAAACAAGACCUUAGCUUUCACUGUGAAGUCUGGUGGGAAAAUGUUUUAUGUUUAUAUAAGAUUUGGGUACUACAUGCUUCAUAAAAUCUCACAAUUUGAAAAGACCAGGUAUCUCAUCCAAUCUAUGCUUUAACAGGAGUCCCUGUUCCAGUCUCUGUAAAAGACCCCCAGUGAUGCAGGAAACUCACUGCCUCUAGAAUGAGUGUGUUCUGCUGUGAGACAAAUUCUGAUUAUUAGUAAGCUUUGCCUUACGUCAGCUAAGCAGCUUUUACCCGUUGUUCCUACUUCUCCCCUUAGAGGCCAGGCAGAGCAAGUUGAAUGCCUCUCACACAUGACAGCCUUUCAAAUAUUUGAAGGCAACUGUAAUCCCUUGUCUUCUCCCUACCCUUUGGGGGAAAAUUAAAAAAUAAUAACCUGGACCUCUUUAAGCUUUAUUUUAUGUAAGUAAGCUAUACCUUUCUACUGAACGUCCUAUAUCAUAGUUUCAAACCCCAUCCCCUAACCAUUUUUUCCUCUGGACAAACAUUAGCUUGCUAAUGUCCUGCCAACUUGCAGAUUAAAAUCAAGUCUAAGAAGAGACAAUAAGAUAACAGAAGAGACAAGAGAUAAUAGAAGAAGCAGGAAUAAAUGCUUAUGGGCACCCCAAAUGAACAGACUAUAACAGGCAAAAAAAUAGACGUAAGUUUUCUGAUCUGGAAGAAGGCUUGAGAAAAUAGAUGGACUUCCUCUGGAAAUAUCUAAAAGAGGACAUGGACAAGAGUUGCACAGGACAAGAAGGUAUAGCUGGGCUACAAUCAGUACAUUUACUCAGAUGAAUGAGAUUACAAAUCAAAGUAUUAAAAUUAAUUUUCUGCCACCAAAAGGAAAAAUGGAAUCCAUUUGGCUACAUCAUUUUUAUUCCCUGAUGAUAGAAAUGAACAUUCAUCAUCAAAGAUUUUUCCUGGAGCUAAACUGAAAGAAGAAUUUAUGAGUGUUCUUUUAUAAAGGAAUCUCUGUCAUAUUGUUUCCCCUCAACAAAGUACAUUGGCCAAACUGGACUACUCUAUCCUUGAAACACCCCCCCCACACACACACACACACUAAUAUUCACACUUUUUUCUGUUUCUAGAAUGCCCUUUUCAUAGUUUACCUGUUUAAUUCUUACCUAACCUUUAAAACUCAACUCAAAUGUAACCUUCUCUAGGAAGUUUUACCUGAUUUCCCUGUCAGUAGUGAUCUCACAUGGCACUCAUAUGUAUUUAUCAUAUAAUAGAGUUUUUUUCAGCUAUCUGUGUAGGGGUCAUAUCAAUCCUACUAAACUGUGAGCUCCACAAGGGUAGAGACAGUGUUUUAUCUAAACUUUGUAUUGCACCUGGGGGCACACUUCUGUUCAAAUAUAGGUCCCCCCAAAGUACAUUAUGUUCAAAAUACUCUGGGGGUCCAGAUCUACUCAAAAGACAUAGCUUAUGAGCCUCUGUCUGUGGGUUUACUUUUACUAGUCAAUCAAAAGACCAAAUUAAACUGGGCACAUUCUCCCACAAAUGCAUGCACCAUCAGUGGGAAGACUGGGCAUACUUGGGGAAUAUGGGUAGGGGGACAUACAUCUAGAGUGAAUGUGUGGCUAAAGCACAUAUAUGUAAAGGGGAAAUUUAUGUCUUCAAAACUGUAAGACCACUUUCUGUUGAUGUCAUGAUACUGCUUCCUCUGGACUAGCUCCCUCCUGGUCUUGGGAGAUGUACAGUCUCUCACAAGGCUUGCUUCUUACCAGUCUCAUGGUCCAUACGGGAACAUGCUCCACUGACCCCUUUGUAGGUGCCUGGUGUGGGUCUGCAGGGCAUAUAUCUGUGGAAAUUCUUUCCAACUUUUGACUUUAAUUGGAGCCUUCUGCUGAUGUGCUAUUUCUUUUCCAUGUGAGGAAGAGUGAACUCUACCAUGUUCCUCCUGGCUUAGAGCCCAGAGGCUUAAACUUAAGCUCUUUUAGGGAAGCAAGUACUUCAUACAACAAAUAUCAGAGUAGGGAAAAAAACUUUUAGCUGCUUUCUUUCACAUAAGAAAAAUAUGUCAUUAGAAUCUUGGUCAUUAUCAGCUUUCCCUCUCCAAAAGGAAUUUUCUUGUCCCCUGACUACAAGCUCUUUUGGAGCACAAAACAGCCAGCCAACUAUUAUAACAUUGACAUUGUGCGGUUUUUCAUUUUAGCCUAAACUUUUUGCUCACAAGGGGCAAGAAUUUCUAUUCCAAGCCUCUAUCUGACUUGGAGUUAGAAAGUCCAUACGAUGCUUGCUUAAUUCUCUUAUGGAGCUUGCCCCAAGCCAUUUCAGGGAGGCUGUGCCAAUGAAACCCCACACAAUAUGGAUCUUACCUAUUCUAGUUUUUACGGGUCCCCCAAAUCCCAUGCAAAUGACUUUGGGCAAGCACGAAAACUAAUCCUAACGAUCCAAAUCAUUGUCUCCCCAGGCUUCUUCCACACCCCUGCCUUUAUCACUGUAUACCUGACCAUCAACAACUUUAAGCUGCAUCUGUAUCUUCUACACAAUAGGCCACAGCUGAUUUCCAAAGCAAGAAAUUAGAAGAUGGUUUUGGACACAUGUGACCUUGGCAUUGAAGAACCAGAAAAGUGCAAUUCAACUCAACAAACAUUUAUUAAGUACCUGCUUAAUAUUCAAGGCUGAAGCAGAGAGUAGGCAGCUGAGCAAGCCUCGAAAAGGACAAUUAGAAAGGCAAUGGAGUUAAAUGACUUGCCCAGGGUCACACAGCUAAUCUUUGGAGACGGACUAGAGAACAUCUCUAGACCCUUCAUCAUUUGGGAGAUAGUGUAAAUGCACUCCGGCCGUGAGAAAAUGGAAU